rnacentral:misc_RNA from 1 species
GCACCUAAACGGGUGCUCCAAUGAUGACGGCUUUCAACGAUAUGGCAAGAGGGGACUAUUACUUGCCACAAAAGGAUGUUUUUAACCCACAUCUCAAACGACAUGUCCAUUUACCGACACCCACACUCAUCCAGUCAUGUCUCAGGCAUUCUCCUAACCCUACGUCAUAUGGCCCCUUUUCUUCCUGUUGCGGACACUCUGAUUGUCAGAUUUUCUACGGAGGCGAAACUUUGGCAAAAGUAACGUUGGAUCGACGCUAGACCACGGAGGGCAGAACAAAGGACGGCGGCUCUCAUGUAUGGCUCGUACCUCUUCCUUCUGACUGUUGCAGCUACUUUCACGGACACUCGUACUUGCCCAAAGCUGCUAUUGUCAAUGAUGGAACGGAGCUUCACGAGUCGUCGUGAUACUGGCGACCGACAGUACCAAGCUCUAUCGAAAUAGCUCGCCUUCUCAUGUUCUAGACCGCACUAAAUCUUACGAGUUGCUUCACUACAAUCGAAAAAACGCACACUAGUCGGCUGUUAGUGGCAUGUCCUCUGCACCAGCUCCAUUAGUUCGGUUUUAAGUGUCGGUUAGGUUGGUUCCAUGAUCCCCCAGCCCUGGAAUGCACCUUUGUCCUUGAACGCCUAAGACCGGCGUCGUAUUACCCUUUGGAGCUGAUCAGUGUCUCAGAGAGCCGUAUUGUACGCGACGAUAGGUGCUAGUGACCCCGUCUGCUUCCUCCGGUCUCCUGUCCACGCCAAGAAGCGGCUUAUAGCAUUUGUUUAUCAUAGCGCCAGUCGUCUAUAGGGUGUAAAUUGAAGACGUGCUAACCAAACCAAGGGGUAUGGUUUGCUAUAAGUAGGUUGCUACCGGUACACUACAGUAUGGGAUGUGUGCGUGUUGAUUGUGGCCGCUUUUACCCCGGAUCCAAAUGUUAACCACCUUUUUCCGGUGAACCAACUAUUUUCUACUUUAAUGGAAGGGGAGAUAGCUUCUCCUUUGGUCACUUCCGGCUUCCGUUAGCCGUAAUGAUGUCCCGAACCUACUUGUUACAACUUUUUACUCGAUUACU